GUUGUUUGGCAGUGAAGGCAGUUUACAUGAGUCAGUGCACAGAACUAGUGGCAGACAGAAAAAUGUUCCAACAUAAAAUUUUGCCUUAAUUAGGCAAAAGUGCACAUGAAAUGUUGGAAAUCAAUGGUAAAUGUACGAGAAUACAUCAUGAGCAUAGUACUUUGUUCAAGUGACAUAAAUGCUUUAUGAAUGGUAGAGAAAGUUUCUACCACUAGCUCUGUGUAUUGACACGUAAAUUGUCUUGCUGCCAAACAACUGCAUGUCUGAUGAUGUCUUGCUGGCUGUACAGUAUCACCAUCUUGGCUUGUAAUGUUAGCAUUCUAGAUGUUACUCAUUUCAUAUUCGACUGCAGCUUCUUUAUAAAAGCAAUCACUUUAGGUUAUAAUUGGCCAUGUGAUCUUGAAAAUUUUAUAUACAAUAAACAAUUAUUUUUGAUUUUUAAGAAAUAUAUCAGAGAGACUGGGAUCCUAAAUAUUUAUUUCUUUUUGAUUAAAUAAUUUGUUCUGAUAUUUUAAUUCUACACUACAGUGGACUCAUGUUUUUAUGAACUCCAAU
rnacentral:lncRNA from 1 species